GACGAACGCUGGCGGCAUGCCUAACACAUGCAAGUCUAGGGGUAGCAAUACCACUGGCGCACGGGUGAGUAACACGUAGGUUAUCUGCCCCCAUCACAGACAUAACCCCGGGAAACCGGGGCUAAUAUCUGAUGAGGUCGCGAGAUCAAAGCUUCGGCGGAUGGGGAUGAGCCUGCGGCUGAUUAGCUAGUUGGUGAGGUAAUGGCUCACCAAGGCGACGAUCAGUAGCUGGUCCGAGAGGACGAACAGCCACACUGGAACUGAGACACGGUCCAGACUCCUACGGGAGGCAGCAGUGAGGAAUAUUGGUCAAUGGGAGCAAUCCUGAACCAGCAAUGCCGCGUGUGGGAUGACAGGGCUUCGCCUUGUAAACCACUGUCGGACGGGACGAAAGGAGGCCUCGGGCCUCUGGGACGGUACCGUCAAAGGAAGGGUCGGCUAACUACGUGCCAGCAGCCGCGGUAAU
rnacentral:rRNA from 1 species